rnacentral:misc_RNA from 1 species
GAUGAAGAACGUAGCAAAAUGCGAUAAGUAAUGUGAAUUGCAGAAUUCAGUGAAUCAUCGAAUCUUUGAACGCACAUUGCGCCCGCCAGUAUUCUGGCGGGCAUGCCUGUUCGAGCGUCAUUUCAACCCUCAAGCACAGCUUGGUGUUGGGACUCGCGUUAAUUCGCGUUCCCCAAAUUGAUUGGCGGUCACGUCGAGCUUCCAUAGCGUAGUAGUAAAACCCUCGUUACUGGUAAUCGUCGCGGCCACGCCGUUAAACCCCAACUUCUGAAUGUUGACCUCGGAUCAGGUAGGAAUACCCGCUGAACUUAAGCAUAUCAAUAGCGGAGA